GUAACAAAGCUGAGAUAAACGCAUUUGCUAUUAAACAUUUAGCUUACUUUUACAAAUCUGUGAGCUCUUUUAUGGAGUGUCAUGAUUCAAGUGCAGUGCUGUACCAGGACAUGACAUCACUCGCCGGGGUCACGACCCGCCGCCGACUCAACGAUAGAGAGAAAAAAAGAAAAGGAAAGGGGUUAGAGAUGAAGACGGGAAAAGAAAGAGUUGGGAAGUGCUGCUCUGUAGGUCACCUUGCCUGGCUGAGGGAUCAAUGUUGCUUUGACUCGCUGGUUAAAGAGAGAGAGAGACUGCAGCCCAGACACCUAGCCAGUAAAUCACCUCGCCAGCUUCAUUGAGAUGCAGCUGUGAGCCCACAUCCUGUGUGCUGUGACAAUGAGAGGGAAGCUUGACUCACUAUUCGAAUUAUUUGGGGGCUGAUAAUAGUGAUGGCUUGAGAGAACGAACGAUGGGCCUGAAGAGAGAAAGAAGCUUGGAGGAAACAAAACCAAGAUGUGACACUGAGAAGCAGACCGUUGUAUGAAAUCUUGAGUUCAGACAAUGUCUAAUCAUAAACUCAUGAUUUUUUUUUUUUUUUUUUGUGCUUAAUAAAACACAAACAGACCACACUCAUUUGUUUUGGUGAACUCUUAAGGGAAAGCAUCUGCUAAUGACAUUUCUGAGGUAACUAUAGGCCUGAGUGAUAACUGGUAGAAAUGAAAUAAAGGUUAUUAAUUGUUAAUAGUCUGUAAGCACACAGUCAGGUUAUUCUUAUCCAAAGAAAACCAGAAUUUAAUCGAACUGACAGUUUGUGUCAAUGUUCAGCGCGCUUUGGUAAAUCUGAUUUCGAGGCGAAUCUGUUUGUCAGAAUCACAGUCGCGCGGAAUAGCAGUUAUUUAAAUAGCAGUUUAAGCAAGUCUCACGAAAUGAAUGAAUGAAACUAAACCUUGAUCAGAUGUGUAUAAACUAUGCGCUGGACCACAGGAGAUUGGAUUUUAUUUUGCGAAGCAAUAACAGAAAUAAAUGUUUAAAAAGGGGGGUAAAAAAAAGCAUUUCCCUCCUUAAAUCAAAUGCUAUUUAAAUAUAGGUUUUUGCUUGUAAAUUAUUUUUUUUAAUUAUAUCGAAUCUGUCUUUAGUGAAAUAUUCCGAUAUAAACUCACAGCGAGUUAUGAUAAGUGCGAGCGCGUUUUGUCAUGUUUCUAAAACAAUUUAGCUGUAUACCAAGUUAUCCUGGCUUUUUUAAAAUAUAAAUAAUUGUAUCUGUCAUAUGUUAUUUUAGUUUAUUUAUAUUUUAAGCAAAACCGAUUUAAUAAGACAUUAUUUGCUCAUCUCGCGCACUUUAUCCAGCGGCAACAAGUGAAAUCGUCAACUUUCCUCAAAACUAUUAAAAAUCAUAAACUCUUAUUUAUUUUCCCGAUCAGCUUGUAAUAUUAAAUAUUGUAUUCAGUGAGAGUCUCACAGUUUAGGCGUGCUCUAAUAAAUAACACGAGGACAUUUGAUUUGAAAUGUUUAACAUUUAUUGAUGAACUCUAUAUUCUGCUCCAGCUUGUACAGUCAGUGUUUGUCAAUCAUAAUCGAUGUCAAAUAUUAAAAUAAAUGUUUUCGGAAAGGGUUUAUUUCCCACCUGA